GAUUUGGGUGGUGGUUCCCGGAAAUCUCUUUUGCUGUACUGGCGCAGGUAUCCCUCCCUUUCUUACCCUUAAGUGGGUCCCAGGGCUUGUCAGGCCUGGGUAUUUAGAGAGAAGAUUGGGUGGGGUGUUGCAGUCGUGGCCAUAUUUUAACCUGGCAGAUGGGACGCAUGAUAGUGGCGUAGUUGCUGUCGUCACUACAAGUUUCCGCCCAAGGAGAGCCGCCCAGCGGUUACCGUGACAGCGGGGAACUGAAUGAGGCCUCCUAGAAAGGGUAGAGGCGAUGCUUUUUUACAUGUGGAGAAGGAGGCAGCAGAUAGAUCACCAGUGGACUUUGAGGACCGUGAACUCAGAUCAGAUCACUGCUUGCCCGUGACCCCUUUGCACCGAUGCAACCGGUUUCUGAAGGCCAAGGCUAAGAUGUACAGGAAAAGCACCACAUGUGUCAGAUUAACAGAGAGUAACAAAAGAUGCCAUGUGUAGCCCAGGAGAGCUGGUGACAGGGCCAUGCGUUGGCAUAGGCAGGAGUUUCCACCUCAUUUCUCAGAGAAGCAUUCCCUGGUUGCCUAGGCCAGGGGCUGGAGCCUACCUGUCCUCCUGUUUGCACAGCCUCUCUCAUCACAGACUUACUGGAGCAGCAAGAAGAGACUGCGUGCUUGGAGGUGCUGCCAGGCAGAUGAACACACCUCGGCACCAGGUGGCAUUUCCUAAGGUGCAUCCUGGAUUGGCUUGAGGUCAUACCCAAGAAGUAAAGAGGAAGGGCAGAGGGUGGGUUGGGUACCAACCACUGGUUUCUUUAGGGAAGCAAACAGGAAGGGGUCUUUACAGCUGGAUGUGGAAUCUUCAAACCCACUUUUGGCUCAUUCGCGGGGAGAGGCUGAGCGAUGCCCCUUCUCUGACUUUGAGAAGUGCACCAUGAAGAAAUGGACACAAGGUCUAGAGGACCAAAGGAGACUGAGAAGUAUCUUGAGAGGAGAGCUGAGCUGGGGCCCCUAGACAGCAGCAUCCCCCAGCUCCACUGGUUGACCACAGACAAUGAAGGACAUGCCCUCUUUUGACCCAGGGACCAAAUGACAAGAGGAGGAUGACAGGGAGAUGAGCUGCAGCCCCAGAGAAACCCCACUGGACGUGAGAUUGCAGUAGUUUUGUUUGUUUGUUUAUUGAUAAAAAAAUAUUAAUAGCAAUUAAAAACAAAACAAAACAUUCACAACCCA